AGUGCUUUACCGUGAAGGAAGACUACAGGAAUUUCUGCUCAGCAGCAGUGCCACAGCCAGUUCCUGGGGAAAAUGACUUAAAUCUCUGGGGCCUUGUUACAUUCCCACAGUUAACACAUUUAAACAUUUUGCUGGAUGAGGAGAUAGAAACGUCUUGUCUGAUGAAAAGCACGUUUUGCAAGGCUUGACAAAUGUGAUGUUCACCUUGAGCCAAUGUGGAACACUGUGAAGUGUGUACAGUAUCUUCUAUCUGUGUUUCUUUGUAUAUGCUACAUGAACUAAAUCCCAAAUAAUCCUGCGGAACAAGGAAUGGUUUCAUCUCCCUGUCACAGAUCCGAGUUGGAGGCACAGACAAAACAAUACUUUGCAGGGAAUUACAGUACCAGCUAGAAGAAGAUCCGGGUUUUCAUCAUGACUCCUGACAUUCGUCCUUGCCAGUAAAACAUAUCCCCCUUUCAAUGCCACAGGAUGUUUUAUAAUAGGGGGAAAAAUGUUUUAGCAGAACUGUUCUACAUUAAAAGGAAGCAUUUAUUUUCAUUGGUAUCAGCUCAGUGAAGGCUUGACCCUGGGACCACAAUGGGAGUUUUAUCCUUGACUUUAAUGGAAGAAUAAUCAAGGUCUCGUGAUAUUACAUCCUAAAGAAAGGCAAAUACUGCAGUUUGUAUCAAUAAGAUAAAUGUCUCACAUUUAGUGUAAGCCGCUGUAUUCUUGCAAUAAAUGGUUUAUUAGAUUGAUUAAAUGUCUUAACUUCACCUCAGCUAUUAAUCACUUUUGGCAGCUGUUUACUGCUUUGUAUACUUUGAAGUAAUGGAGAUUAUUCCUUAAUUAUCUCAUUGCAGUUCAGUCAUUGUUUCCUAAAUAGUGCCAUUAGAAUGGUAAAUUGCAACAGUAAAACAGUGUCAAUAUGGAGUUAUGGAGUUCCCAUUUUAUGACGCAUUCAUAAAGUUAACACAAUCUACUUAAAACAUGGCUGUGAUUUCCACACAGUGACCUAUUUGAUAUGGCAGAAGAGGUUUUGAUGAGAAAACAGUAGAGCAUUAAGUGUGCCGGGACUCUGCUUUCACCAAAGUAAAACACAGAGUAUUCCCUGUUGGAAUAUAUGUGCAUAUCAGAAUUUAUUAAGCCAGUGCUUGUUUGAUCACCUUCAGUUUCAGUAAGUGCUGUGAAUUCCAAGAAUUUUGUGCCUUUGAAUACAACGUGUUUAUUUCUAUGCAAAAAGAAAUGAGAAAACUCCAAGCAAUGUUAUCAUUUAGAGGUUACCAUUGUCAUUCUGCAGAAGGAUAAGAGAGUACAAGA